GACGAACGCUGGCGGCGUGCCUAAUACAUGCAAGUAGAACGCUGAAGAGAGGAGCUUGCUCUUCUUGGAUGAGUUGCGAACGGGUGAGUAACGCGUAGGUAACCUGCCUUGUAGCGGGGGAUAACUAUUGGAAACGAUAGCUAAUACCGCAUAACAAUGGAUGACACAUGUCAUUUAUUUGAAAGGGGCAAUUGCUCCACUACAAGAUGGACCUGCGUUGUAUUAGCUAGUAGGUGAGGUAAUGGCUCACCUAGGCGACGAUACAUAGCCGACCUGAGAGGGUGAUCGGCCACACUGGGACUGAGACACGGCCCAGACUCCUACGGGAGGCAGCAGUAGGGAAUCUUCGGCAAGGGGGGCAACCCUGACCGAGCAACGCCGCGGGAGUGAAGAAGGUUGUCGGAUCGUAAAGCUCUGUUGUAAGUCAAGAACGGGUGUGAGAGUGGAAAGUUCACACUGUGACGGUAGCUUACCAGAAAGGGACGGCUAACUACGUG
rnacentral:rRNA from 1 species